GAAAUCAUACUUGACAGGAUCUUUUCUAUAGUAUGUAUUUCUCAUCUAAAUCUCAAAUUUUGAGUUCCCUUCUACCACGAUGAGAAACUCGUAUCAAGUUCUGAGCGUGAGGCAGAUCUGAUUGGAAUCUUAUGAUUCUGAUUUGGUCAUCGAUGAUCGUUCAGAUCAGGUUGUGUUGCCUGGUCUGAGGGAGAUCUUGAUAUCUGAGUGGA
rnacentral:snoRNA from 1 species